GAAUUUGAUCGUGGCUCAGGACGAACGCUGGCGGCGUGCUUAACACAUGCAAGUCAGGGGGCUCAGCAAUGGGUCACCGGCGAACGGGUGCGUAACACGUGAGCGACCUGCCCAAGUGUGGGGGAUAGCCGGCCCAACGGCCGGGUAAUACCGCAUACGCUUCCUCUGGGGCAUACCUAGGGAAGGAAACCUUCGGGGCACAUGGAGGGGCUCGCGGCCUAUCAGCUAGUUGGCGGGUAACGGCCCACCAAGGCUACGACGGGUAGCUGGUCUGAGAGGAUGGCCAGCCACAUUGGGACUGAGAUACGGCCCAGACUCCUACGGGAGGCAGCAGUGGGGAAUAUUGCGCAAUGGCCGAAAGGCUGACGUAGCGACGCCGCGUGGGGGAGAAGGUCUUCGGAUUGUAAACCCCUGUUGCCCGGGACGAAUCCUGGUUUAAGCCAGAUUGACGGUACCGGGUGAGGAAGCACCGGCUAACUCUGUGACAGCCGCCGCCGU
rnacentral:rRNA from 1 species